rnacentral:rRNA from 1 species
CCUACGGGUGGCAGCAGUGAGGAAUAUUGGUCAAUGGACGGAAGUCUGAACCAGCCAUGCCGCGUGCAGGAAGACGGCUCUAUGAGUUGUAACCUUCUUUUGUACAAGGGUACACCUGAAUACGUGUAUUCAGCUGAAAUUACUGUACGAAUAAGGAUCGGCUAACUCCGUUCCAGCAGCCGCGUUAAUACGGAGGAUCCCACUGUUAUACGGAUUUAUUUGGUUUAAGGGCUGCGUAAGCGGCUUGAUAAGUUAGAGGUGAAAUGUCCGAGCUUAACUCGGGAACUGCAUCUACUACUGUUGAUCUAGAGAGUAGGUGCGGUAGGCGGAAUGUAUGGUGUAGCGGUGAAAUGCUUAGAGAUCAGACAGAACACCGAUUGCGAAGGCAGCUUACCAAUCUAUAUCUGACGUUGAGGCACGAAAGCGUGGGGAGCAAACAGGAUUAGAUACCCCUGUAGUC